AGACCCGAAACCCGGUGAUCUAGCCAUGGGCAGGUUGAAGGUUGGGUAACACUAACUGGAGGACCGAACCGACUAAUGUUGAAAAAUUAGCGGAUGACCUGUGGCUGGGGGUGAAAGGCCAAUCAAACCGGGAGAUAGCUGGUUCUCCCCGAAAGCUAUUUAGGUAGCGCCUCGUGAAUUCAUCUCCGGGGGUAGAGCACUGUUUCGGCUAGGGGGCCAUCCCGGCUUACCAACCCGAUGCAAACUGCGAAUACCGGAGAAUGUUAUCACGGGAGACACACGGCGGGUGCUAACGUCCGUCGUGAAGAGGGAAACAACCCAGACCGCCAGCUAAGGUCCCAAAGUCAUGGUUAAGUGGGAAACGAUGUGGGAAGGCCCAGACAGCCAGGAUGUUGGCUUAGAAGCAGCCAUCAUUUAAAGAAAGCGUAAUAGCUCACUGGUCGAGUCGGCCUGCGCGGAAGAUGUAACGGGGCUAAACCAUGCACCGAAGCUGCGGCAGCGACACUCAGGUGUUGUUGGGUAGGGGAGCGUUCUGUAAGCCUGUGAAGGUGGCCUGUGAGGGUUGCUGGAGGUAUCAGAAGUGCGAAUGCUGACAUAAGUAACGAUAAAGCGGGUGAAAAGCCCGCUCGCCGGAAGACCAAGGGUUCCUGUCCAACGUUAAUCGGGGCAGGGUGAGUCGACCCCUAAGGCGAGGCCGAAAGGCGUAGUCGAUGGGAAACGGGUUAAUAUUCCCGUACUUGGUGUUACUGCGAAGGGGGGACGGAGAAGGCUAUGUUGGCCGGGCGACGGUUGUCCCGGUUUAAGCGUGUAGGUGUGU
rnacentral:rRNA from 1 species